rnacentral:rRNA from 1 species
GAUGAACGCUAGCUACAGGCUUAACACAUGCAAGUCGAGGGGUAACGAGAGGAAAGCUUGCUUUCCUUGUCGUCGACCGGCGCACGGGUGAGUAACGCGUAUCCAACCUGCCCCCAACUAGGGAAUAACCUUGCGAAAGUAAGACUAAUACCCUAUAAUUUCCUCAGAUGACAUCUGACGAGGAAUAAAGAUUUAUCGGUUGUGGAUGGGGAUGCGUCUGAUUAGCUUGUUGGCGGGGUAACGGCCCACCAAGGCAACGAUCAGUAGGGGUUCUGAGAGGAAGGUCCCCCACAUUGGAACUGGGACACGGUCCAAACUCCUACGGGAGGCAGCAGUGAGGAAUAUUGGUCAAUGGGCGGAAGCCUGAGCCGGCCAAGUAGCGUGCAGGAUGACGGCCCUAUGGGUUGUAAACUGCUUUUAUACAGGAAUAAAGUUAGCCACGUGUGGUUAUUUGUAGGUACUGUAUGAAUAAGGACCGGCUAAUUCCGUGCCAGCCGCCGCCGUAA